GAAACAAAGAGAAGGAACCACACACAAAAACCGCACAAGAACAAUGAUGUAUAUGUUCCCUCUCUUUUUUGUAUUUCAUUCAUUAUUCCUCUUUCUUCUCCG
rnacentral:ribozyme from 14 species